UGGUUAAUGAUAAAGUAAGACAGGGGCGAUUCUAGGAUCUGACCUUUGGGGGGGCUCAGCCCCUAAUGAAAAGUUUAUAGCAGUUAAGCUAGGGAGGUCCGGGGGCAUGCCCCCGUAAGAUUUUUUUUUUUAAACCCUUAAAUCAUGACUUCUUGUGAGUUUUGGGGAAAUAAAUAGACAGAUUGAGACAUGCAAUUAUGACAAACUAUCAACAGAUUCAAGGCAUCUGCUGUGAAAAAAGAUGGCAACUACAAAGCAUGAUUAUUGCAGCACACCUACCCAGGGGCGUCGGAC